rnacentral:rRNA from 1 species
UACGGAGGAGGCUAGCGUUAUUCGGAAUUACUGGGCGUAAAGCGCACGUAGGCGGCUUUGUAAGUAAGAGGUGAAAGCCCAGAGCUCAACUCUGGAAUUGCCUUUUAGACUGCAUCGCUUGAAUCAUGGAGAGGUCAGUGGAAUUCCGAGUGUAGAGGUGAAAUUCGUAGAUAUUCGGAAGAACACCAGUGGCGAAGGCGGCUGACUGGACAUGUAUUGACGCUGAGGUGCGAAAGCGUGGGGAGCAAACAGG